GCUUUGGAAUAGGGUGGUAUGAUUCAGUGCCUGUGCCCUCAACCACUCAACCACUCACAGCAGAUUGGGGUGCUCGCGGCUCACUUCAGGCACCCAAAUCCAGUCUCCAUGGACUCAGGGGAUCCUGGGAGGCUUAGAACAAGGGCUCCAAGACAGGCCGCUACCCAAAGGCACACAUGCUUGCACACACACAUGCACAGCGCUCUGCCCUGCCCCCACCUGUGCUUCUGGAGGCAGAGGAGCUGGGCUGACUUGGCCCAUAACCAGGUUAGCUAAGAUCCAAUUAACUAGUUAGCGCAGGCAGAGCUGGGGGCAGGCAGGGCGCGCUGGAGAGCGGGACGGAUGGGUUGGGUAAUGUGCAGAGACAGCCAGAGACAGCGGCUCCGCUCUAACCUGAUAAGCAGCUCCCAACAUCACUGCCGCCCAGCCUGGCAGGCGGAGUGGCCUCAAUCCUGGGUUGCUGGGGAGGGUGCUGGGACGGUCUCCGACCCCCAUUCCUCCCUUCCACACACACACUGCCCUCAUCUUCUGGCCUCUCCUCAGCAACACUCACUCCUGCUCUGCCCCCUCUAAGGACUGUGAGGAAGGCAGCUUCUUCUGCUAGAUGUUUUCAUCCACUAUCUGCAGUCAUGAACAGAAGAGUCUCCAAUGGGAGCAGAAACAGGGAAAGGAGUGGUAAGAAUGGCAAUGACAUUGAAAGAUGUGGGAGCUGCUCUAACCCAGGUCGCCUGCUCAAGGCUGUGAGAGGAAGCCAGGCUGUGAGACGUCCAAGAACAGAGAAUCCAUCUGGAUGCCACACCCAGUUUUUCAAGAGAGACAACUAAGAACUGGUCAAGUGAAGCCUUCCUCCAAGUAAGCACCAUGUUGGUUUGCCAUCCCACUUUCCCAUCUUCCUUCUGCUGCUAAGCACACCCAUAUUUUCCCUAGGCAACCAUCCCUUCCUCACUUCUGUCCAUGUGGUUUAGGAAGGGCUGACUUUACCCCCGACUAGCCGAGAUCUCAGGGUGCAGCUCAGGACUGGAGCUGGCCCAUCUGUGCCUUUCAUCCCUGGGCCACAUGAUUCAAUAAAAGGUGAUCCAGUAUGAUCAGCACUAAA